rnacentral:rRNA from 1 species
UACGUAGGCAGCAAGCGUUGUUCGGAGUCACUGGGCGUAAAGGGUGUGUAGGCGGUUAUUUAAGUUUGGUGUGAAAUCUCCCGGCUCAACCGGGAGGGUGCGCCGAAUACUGAAUGACUUGGAGUGCGGGAGAGGAAAGUGGAAUUCCUGGUGUAGCGGUGAAAUGCGUAGAUAUCAGGAGGAACACCGGUGGUGUAGACGGCUUUCUGGACCGUAACUGACGCUGAGACACGAAAGCGUGGGUAGCAAACAGG